GAUGGAGGAGAGGAGAGCGAUGUGUUGAUACAGGGGAGACAGAUGGACAUCUGUGGAUUAGGUGAAGGAGGGGUUGAGGUCAGGAGGAGAGGAGAGCGAUGUGUUGAUACAGGGGAGACAGAUGGACAUCUGGGUAUUAGGUGAAGGAGGGGUUGAGGUCAGGAGGUGAGGACAGAGAUGUGUUGAUACAUGGGGAGACAGAUGGACAUCUGUGGAUUAGGUGAAGGAGGGGUUGAGGUCAGGAGGUGAGGACAGAGAUGUGUUGAUACAUGGGGAGACAGAUGGACAUCUGUGGAUUAGGUGAAGGAGGGGUUGAGGUCAGGAGGUGAGGACAGCGAUGUGUUGAUACUGGGGAGACAGAUGGACAUCUGGGUAUUAGGUGAAGGAGGGGUUGAGGUCA
ensembl:lncRNA